rnacentral:rRNA from 1 species
GACGAACGCUGGCGGCGUGCUUAACACAUGCAAGUCGAGCGAUGAAGCUUCCUUCGGGAAGUGGAUUAGCGGCGGACGGGUGAGUAGCACGUGGGUAACCUGCCUCAAAGUGGGGGAUAGCCUUCCGAAAGGAAGAUUAAUACCGCAUAAUAUGAGGAAAUCGCAUGAUUUUCUUAUCAAAGAUUUAUUGCUUUGAGAUGGACCCGCGGCGCAUUAGCUAGUUGGUAAGGUAAUGGCUUACCAAGGCAACGAUGCGUAGCCGACCUGAGAGGGUGAUCGGCCACAUUGGAACUGAGACACGGUCCAGACUCCUACGGGAGGCAGCAGUGGGGAAUAUUGCGCAAUGGGGGAAACCCUGACGCAGCAACGCCGCGUGGGUGAUGAAGGUCUUCGGAUUGUAAAGCCCUGUUUUCUGGGACGAUAAUGACGGUACCACACGAAAGCCCCGGCUAACUACGUGC